rnacentral:lncRNA from 1 species
CUUGGCUAGUCCCUUGAGACUUUUAAUUUCCUCUUUCUCCUUAUUUAAUUUAAGUUUAAUUAAUUCCUGGAUUUUUCACAUCUGAAUUUCAUCACCUUUCCUUUCAAGUCUUUGUGCUGUCUCACCCCAGAUUGUGUUUUUCCUCUUCUCUUCUCUUUCUGUUCCCACCCCCUCAAGCCCCUUACUUCACUCCCUCUCAUCUUCUAGCCUGUUCUGGCUUUGUGUUCUUUCCUACAGAACAGCUCUGAAAUCUCUCAUCAGGAGUGGAAGACACAUGAGGUGAAGGAGGGUAGCCAUCCCCUGGAAAUUGGAGUUAAACAAGGAAUGAUCGUUCUCAGGGAGAAGGUUGCCCUCACCUCUUACAACCAAUGCAUUCGAACACUGUGGGGGAUAAUAACAUCUGUCCCACAUAUCUCAGAGGACAUCUGGACCCCGAUGUGCCAAAGUAUAAGAUACAUUCACAGCCAGAUUGCCAAGGGGAUGAAAGAGCGGAUAAGCCAUGGAGAAGGGGUUGGAGAGUGUGUGUGUGUACGGGGGGAGCUAUAGGUUACUUUUUAGAAAGGAAAGAGAAAAGGAACAAAAUUAGGACCAUGGGCGUAUGCAAAAGAAAUGGUGAAGGAUAUGAGGGCAUAAACACGUCAACAGAGGUGCAAACCAGAAGAGUAAAGACUGUUAUAGAAGAAAAGGAAGGAGAAACAAAAGAGGGAAAGAAGCUCAUUGAACUGAAAAUAAAUUGACAAGAUUUAAGUGUGCAGAUUUGUUGGGGAGGGCAUUGUUUGCUAAUGGGAAAAGAACAGCAACUAUGUAUACUUUGCAAAUGUGUUUGAUGAAGGAGAAACGGAGUAGUAGAGAUAAGAAAGAAGAAAGCACUUUGAAAAGUGAGAGGCGCCGCGGCAAGAGGAGGGAGAAUGAACAAAGGGAAGGAACGCUUUAAGGGCGGAGAAAGCUCUGGGACCCGGGGAAAGCAGGCUGGAGGCUGGAGCUUUCGGCUGUUUGCCCUUCACUAUUCACUUAAUUCCCGUUUGGAGUUCGCUGUCAAUCACGCCCCCCGCCAGAGCCCAACCGCGGGAGCCCCUUCCUUCCCGAGACACUCCUUCCAUUAUCCUCGCUAAACCUGCCCGCGCCGCAGGAAUGCCCGCGGAUUGCUCACAUUAAGAAGCAAAUUGAUUAUGAACUGAGUUUUGUCUACCAACAAUUUUUAAUAUGUAAUCUUGUCAUGAGUGAACGAAAGUCAUUAAUAAUACAGUAAGCAAAAUGUGCUACAGUUAACCUUAAAUUAUAACUUACAAAGAGCAUUCCUGCAGUUUCUGCUUUGAUUUAUGAGCUCAGUUUAUUCUAUGCAAAUUCAUGCACAGUUUCUAAUAAG